rnacentral:rRNA from 1 species
AGUUUGAUCCUGGCUCAAGAUGAACACUGGUGGAGUGCUUAACGCAUGCCAGUCAAACGGAGAGCUAAUGACAGAGGAUUCGUCCGAUGGAAUUAGUUUCUUAGUGGCGGACGGGUGAGUAACGCGUGAGGAACCUGCCUUGGAGUGGGGAAUAACAGUUGGAAACAGCUGCUAAUACCGCAUAACGCAGUUGAGUCGCAUGGCUCUGACUGCCAAAGAUUUAUCGCUCUGAGAUGGCCUCGCGUCUGAUUAGCUAGUUGGCGGGGUAACGGCCCACCAAGGCGACGAUCAGCAGCCGGACUGAGAGGUUGGCCGGCCACAUUGGGACUGAGACACGACCCAGACUCUUAUGGGAGGCGGCAGUGGGGAAUAUUGGGCAAUGGGCGCAAGCCUGACCCAGCAACGCCGCGUGAAGGAAGAAGGCCCUCGGGUUAUAAACUUCUUUUUUUAGGGACGAAGCAAGUGCCGUUCCCUAAGGAAUAACCCACGGUUAAUUACGUCCCAGCAGCCGCGGUAUUAGGUAGGUGCCAAGCGUUAUCGGGAUUUAUUGGGUGUAAAGGGCGUGUAGGCGGGAUGGUAAUUCAGAUGUGAAACCUAUGGGUUCAACUCAUAGCCUGCUUUGGAAACUGCUGUUCUGGAGUUCUGGAGAGGCAGACGGAAUUCCUAGUGUAGGGGUGAAAUGGGUAGAUUUUAGGAGGAACCCCAGUGGGGAAGGGGCUCUGUUGGACAGCAACUGACGUUGAGGCGGGAAAGCGUGGGGACCAACCAGGAUAGAUACCCUGGUAGUCCACGCUGUAAACGA